rnacentral:rRNA from 1 species
UAGUCCACGCAGUAAACGAUGAUAACUCGCUGUCGGCGAUACACAGUCGGUGGCUAAGCGAAAGCGAUAAGUUAUCCACCUGGGGAGUACGUUCGCAAGAAUGAAACUCAAAGGAAUUGACGGGGGCCCGCACAAGCGGAGGAACAUGUGGUUUAAUUCGAUGAUACGCGAGGAACCUUACCCGGGCUUGAAAGUUAGCGACGAUUCUGGAAACAGGAUUUCCCUUCGGGGCGCGAAACU